ACGGAAGGCAGCAGUGGGGAAUAUUGCACAAUGGGGGAAACCCUGAUGCAGCGACGCCGCGUGAGUGAAGAAGUAUUUCGGUAUGUAAAGCUCUAUCAGCAGGAAAGAAAAUGACGGUACCUAACUAAGAAGCCCCGGCUAACUACGUGCCAGCAGCCGCGGUAAUACGUAGGGGGCAAGCGUUAUCCGGAUUUACUGGGUGUAAAGGGAGCGUAGACGGCUUUGCAAGUCUGAAGUGAAAGCCCGGGGCUCAACCCCGGAACUGCUUUGGAAACUGUAGAGCUAGAGUGCAGGAGAGGUAAGUGGAAUUCCUAGUGUAGCGGUGAAAUGCGUAGAUAUUAGGAGGAACACCAGUGGCGAAGGCGGCUUACUGGACUGUAACUGACGUUGAGGCUCGAAGGCGUGGGGAGCAAACAGGAUUAGAUACCCUGGUA
rnacentral:rRNA from 1 species